UUUUGGUCCCCGGUGUCCCAUCCAGGCACCCAGGCUGAGAUCCUACUCCUUCCUCCUCCCGUCAGCCCUCAAUUCUUGAUUGGACUGCAGAUCCAUCCGGUGGGCUUGCCUUGAUCCCCUUCUUUUCGAAGUAGCUGACUAACUGCAUCAUGUCGGAGAUGAAGGACUCCAAUGCUUCUGCUCUUGUUGGAAAUCCUGAACCUAUGGAUCAAAGUGAAGAUAAUUACAUGCCCUCAGCUCAGCAACAGGUUAUUUCCUGCGCUAGUUCUGGAGAUUAUAUAGUCAUUUAAAUGGCACUCUUGUUGAUGGAAUAACUAGCGAAGCUGCUUUAAAGAACUGGCACAAUUCCUCUUAAAACAAAAACUGGCGCAAUAAGUUAUAUUGAGCAUAAAAGUAUUGUCAUCUGGACAUGAGGAAGCAAUCAAGAAGUUUGGAGGACUAAUGCCCAAAGAGCCACCACUGAUCUCAAAGGAUCAUGAACGGGCCUAUUUUGAUUCUGCUGACUGGGCACUAGGAAAGCAAGGUGUUGCAAAACCCAAAGGACCGCUGGAGGCACUUAGGCCGAAGUUGCAGGCACUACUCGUCAUUAUAUAGGCCAACACGCCAACAAUAGCAGCAACGUUUAAGGCGCUCAAUUUACACUUCAUCAGAGAACGAGGAUGGAGAUGGUGCCGAGGAUAUGAACAUGAACUGAACUGAACUCUGUGGGAUAGGACGUCUUGUUGGAGAAGCCUCACCGCUUGAAGCAGCUUGCUUUCGUUAUUUAAGGAUAUGCGUGUCUCUCUGUUUCUUCCAUUGACAAGAAAGAAAUGUUAUACUAGUAUUUUGCAAGGACUGAGGUAGCAGGGCCAUAGACUCCAUUGUAUGAUUGGGCUUGCCAGCACUUGGGUUGUGUGCUCCGAUCCAGUCUAUAUAUUUAAUUUGAUUU